rnacentral:lncRNA from 1 species
CUUCAUGUUACCAGGUCUGUAGCGCUUGUUUCCAUAGAAACUGUGUAUCAUCUUCAAAGGCAGAACAAAGCUGUUAUGUUGCUGAAGGAAAAAGAGAUAAGUCAAAUGAUAGUUGUCAGAACAAUUGCAUAUGUAUUAAAGCUGUUAGAGGUGAAACCCACGCAGAGCCAUGAGAAUGACAGACAAAUGAUUUGCUGUUGCAUUGCACAGCCAUCUUAAACCCUGAUGUCAUAAAACUCAGUCUCCUGAAGAGAAAACCUGCGGGAUUCUUAGACAUAGGAAGGUCCACACAGGCUUCAACAGAGGAGUGUGGACACGAUGAAUGAUUCCUAGAGUGGUACAUUGUGGGUGAGUGACACUUCCCUACAAGGUAUGUGGACUUCCUAUUCCCUGCUUUGAGUGUGGUUUCAUCUAAUAAAAGGGGCUGAGCUGAGACUUUUGAAGACCUUUCAAGGCAUUAUCCCUUCCAGGAUAUCUACAGGGAAACAUUACUGAGAACUGACGUCAAAUACAUCAAUCCAUUUGAUGCUCAAUUGCAAGCAUGGUGCAAGUACUACUCUAAAUAAUACAAGCAGAACU